UCCUUGUUAGCAUGCUGGGAUGUGGCAUGGA
rnacentral:piRNA from 1 species